CGGUAAUUCCAGCUCCACUGGCGUAUAUUAACGUUGCUGCAGUUAAAGAGCUCGUAGUUGGAUGUGUGGAGGCCGGGAGGCGGCGAGGCCAAGCGUUUCGCAAGCAGACCGGCAGCCAUUAGCCUUUCAAGAUUUGCGGGCAUUGAGUUGUCUGCUGAUUGUCGAGAGGCCAUUUACUGUGAGAAAAGGAGAGUGUUCAAAGCGGGCGAAAGCUGGAAUACAUUAGCGUGGGAUGAUGAGAUAGAACAGAGGUUUUAUUUCGUUGGUUUAUGAGCCUUUGUGAUGAUAUAGAGGGGCAGUUGGGGGUAUUCAUACUUGCCAGUCAGAGGUGAAAUUCUUGGAUUUGGCAAAGAUGGACUGGUGCGAAAGCAUUUACCAAGGAUGUUCUCGCUAAUCAAGAACGAAAGUUAGGGGAUCGAAGAGGAUUAGAUACCCUCGUAGUCCUAACCGUAAACGAUGCCGACUCGGGAUUGGGCACUGUUGUUUGAGACGUGCUCAGGACCGUUCGAGAAAUCAAAGUCUUUGGGUUCCGGGGGGAGUAUGGUCGCAAGGCUGAAACUUAAAGGAAUUGACGGAAGGGCACCACCAGGAGUGGAGCCUGCGGCUUAAUUUGACUCAACACGGGGAAACUUACCAGGUCCGGACAUGAGAAGGAUUGACAGAUUGAGAGUUCUUUCUUGAUUUCAUGGGUGGUGGUGCAUGGCCGUUCUUAGUUGGUGGAGCGAUUUGUCUGGUUAAUUCCGUUAACGAACGAGACCUCCGCCUGCUAAAUAGGUGCUGCAAUUCUGAGAUUGUAGCAGCUUCUUAGAGGGACUUUGGGCGUUUAGCCCGAGGAAGUUGGAGGCAAUAACGGGUCUGUGAUGCCCUUAGAUGUCCUGGGCUGCACGCGCGCUACACUGAUGCGUUCAGAGAGCGAUCCUUGGCUGACAAGUCACGGGAAAUCUCGAAAGCGUAUCGUGAUGGGGAUAGAUGAUUGGAAUUAUUCAUCUUGAACGAGGAAUUCCUAGUAAACGCGAGUCAUCAGCUCGCAUUGAUUACGUCCCUGCUCCUUGUACACGCCGCCC
rnacentral:rRNA from 1 species